GAACAGGUUAUGGCAAAUGCUUGGAAUAUUCGUCAUGAAGGUGCUAACUUAUUUCAAGUAUUUUCUAAAUUGAAGAAGGGCAGGUUUGAUCUUUCCCAAUGGCACAAGAAUCAUCAACACAAUGCUCAAUCUCAUAUUGUGCACUUGAAAGAUCAAAUUGCUUGAAUUAAAAAUAGUUCAUAUGGCAACAUUGUAAUUGACAUUCGCCAAUUGGAACAAUAAUUAGCCAUUGAAAUUAAAAAUAAGGAAGCCUAUUGGCUAAAAAAUGCUAGGCAAAAU
rnacentral:misc_RNA from 1 species